UAGGGAAUCUCCACAAUGGACGCAAGUCUGAUGGAGCAACGCCGCGUGAGUGAAGAAGGUUUUCGGACCGUAAAGCUCUGUUGUUGGUGAAGAAGGAUAGAGGUAGUAACUGGCCUUUAUUUGACGGUAAUCAACCAGAAAGUCACGGCUAACUACGUGCCAGCAGCCGCGGUAAUCGUAGGUGGCAAGCGUUGUCCGGAUUUAUUGGGCGUAAAGCGAGCGCAGGCGGAAGAAUAAGUCUGAUGUGAAAGCCCUCGGCUUAACCGAGGAAUUGCAUCGGAAACUGUUUUCUUGAGUGCAGAAGAGGAGAGUAGAACUCCAUGUGUAGCGGUGGAAUGCGUAGAUAUAUGGAAGAAUACCAGUGGCGAAGGCGGCUCUCUGGUCUGCAACUGACGCUGAGGCUCGAAAGCAUGGUAGCGAACAGGAUUAGAUACCCUGGUAGUCCAUGCCGUAAACGAUGAGUGCUAAGUGUUGGGAGGCUUCCGCCUCUCAGUGCUGCAGCUAACGCAUUAAGCACUCCGCCUGGGGGAGUACGACCGCAAGGUUGAAAC
rnacentral:rRNA from 1 species